CAAUUAAUAUAUGCGCCUCCUUCCUCAGGACGCCACUUCCUUCCUCAAUACGAUUCACAAACCCUAAUUCAUCAAUCAACGCUCUUUUCCUCCCUAUGUUUCUUCCUCUGCCAGUUUGUUCUUCAUUAAUCGCCGCUCUUUUCCUCUCAGCAGUUCCUCCAUAACAACGAGCGUUACUCGAAUUCGUCUCGAUUUGUUCUCCUAUUUUGAUAUUUGGCAUCCAGGUAAUGGAUUUUGCGUUUUCUCUGGGUGUUGUCGAUCUCCGCUUCCUGAUUUAUACAGAUCAUUUUAUGUUAUAGGAGAGAGAAAGAGAUGUGUUAAGAAUCUCUGAGCCACCACAGCUAACAUCGAAAUUGUCGACGAACUCUGUCUCAUCCAGUAAGUGAGGAUAAACGAUGGCCACAAUGGUGGCUGCAUUAUGGUUCCUACAAUGAUGAUGAUGUUUAUGGGCUGAAUGUUUGAAGGUUCUUUGAGCGUUGUAAUCAUCGGAAGAAUCAAGCCCCACUGCCUCGGUGUCAUAUCCGCCGUAUCUCCUUUCUUUGCCGCCUUUUGGCUACACACGAAUGUUGCAAAUCUUUAUUUUGAGCUAGCCUAUAGCAGCUAAUAAAUGCAAUGCAAUGCUUUCCAUAGCCAGUGCAAGGCUUAUCUUAGUGGAAUCCUUUCUACUCAUGAUUUCAAGCAAGCAAUGUUGCAACUACUGUUAUCGGUGAUAUUUUGGAUUGUUGAUUCGCAUGGUCAAGUCUUUGAUAUUGAGAAUAUUGUUCGCUAUGGAUUGCGAGUUGAAGGAAGAGAUAGUGUUAAAAGCUUAAUCAGUGAUGUUAUUAGGUUUUUUCUUGCACCAGCAGUUCGGUACAUGAUUUUGGGAGUUUUUGUGUUAGUGACAUAAAUGGGUUGGGUAACGAGUCAAAAAUGAUUUGAGUCGGUGGAUAUAAAGACACUUUUGGGCGAUUUUCUAUAUGUUCAAACUUUUUGACCCGUUUAACUUUCAAUUAUUUGUCCGUCAUUUUGCUCAUUUGACACGUUAGAUUUCUGAAAAAGUUUACCUAAUUUCUAACAAGAUGGUUUGUGUGAUAACUGUUGAAGAAAUUUUAUCUGAACAUAAGAGGCAUUCAUCCGGUUUUAAAAGGAACUGUCGGGACAAGCUAGACUGAUUUUAUCUAAUUUCUAACAAGAUGGUUUGCAUGACUGGUAUUUGUGACAGGUUUGCCAUUGAUUUGUGCCUAAUUUGUUGUUUUCUUAAUUCAGUGAUGUUAUGCUCAUGAUAUGUUAUUAGGUUUUUGCUUGCACCAGCAGUUCGUUACAUGAUUUUGGGAGUUUUUAUGUUAGUGACAUAAAUGGGUUGGGUAACGAGUCAAAAAUGAUUCGGGUAAGUCGUUUUAGCUCCUUCACAAGUCAACUAAUUUUAGCUCCUUCACAAAUUGUUCUUAUAAACAAAACUCAAGGGCGAUUCUGAUACAACCUGAUCCAAGCAAGUCGACUGAUUCGGCAAGUUUGAGAUUGAUAUUGUUCGGUCUGCUGUGGAACUUGGAACCAGCCGCUUAACCUUUAUUGGUUAUAGUUUGUUUUCUUUAAUUUUUGGAGUACAUAUUCACAAACCAUAUUUUUUUUUAAUUUUGAAAAACAAAAUGGGUUCGUAGGAGGUGAAUGAUGACGUUGUAGGAGGUGAUGAUUUGUUGUUAUAUCCACAGUCGGUUUUGCAAGAGGAUGAAGACAAUGAACCAAAUCCAUCUAAAAGUUUGUUUUGUGAACUAUGAGCUGGUGUCCAGACAAACCGCGUGUGGCGGCGGUUCGUUGGCUGGGAAUUUGGUCGGUAUUGAUUCGAUUCGUUACUAUAUUUCUAACUAUAAUGACCCGAUCGGGGGUCGAAAUUUCCACCUCUAUUUGCCUAUAUGUGCCUUUUAAGAUCUGAAAAUUAUCUUCUCCAGACACAUUUUGACUACAUUGCUGCAAAAUUUGGUGAAUGUAUUGCUAAUGAAAGUGAAAAGCUUUGGCUUCCUCCAAUCAGACAAGAUGAAUACACAGAGCAAUGGAGGUCCUUACCAGAACCGCAACAGUUACAGAGGGCGUGAAAGAGGAAGAGGAUCCAGGGGAACGAGUGAAUUAACUAGGGAUAUAAAGACACUUUUGGGAGUUUCUGUGUCAGUGACAUAAAUGGGUUGGCUAAUGAGUCAAAAUGAUUCGGGCCAGUGGAUAUAAAGACACUUUUGGGCGAUUUUCUAUAUGUUCAAACUUUUUGACCCGUUUAACUUUCAAUUGAUUUGUCCGUCAUUUUGCUCAUUUGACACGUUAUAUUUCUAAAAAAGUUUACCUAAUUUCUAACAAGAUGGUUUGUGUGAUAACUAUUGACGAAAAUUUAUCUGAACAUAAGAGGCGUUCAUCCUGUUUUAAAAGGAACUGUCGGGACAAGCUGGACUGAUUUUAGCUCCUUCACAAAUUGUUCUUAUAAACAAAGCUCAAGGAUGAUUCUGAUACUACCUGAUCCAAGCAAGUCGACUGAUUCAGCAAGUUUGAGAUUGAUAUUGUUCGGUCUGCUGUGGAAGUUGGAACCAGCUGCUUAAAUUUUAUUGGUUAUAGUUUGUUUUCUUUAAUUUUUGGAGUACAUAUUCACGAACCAUAUUUUUUUUAAUUUUGAAAAACAAAAUGGGUUCGUAGGAGUUGAAUGAUGACAUCGUAGGAGGUUAUGAUUUGUUGUUAUAUGCACAGUCGGUUUUACAAGAGGAUGAAGACAAUGAACCAAAUCCAUUUAAAAGUUUGUUUUCUAAACUAUGAGCUGGUGUCCGGACAAACCGCGUGUGGCGGCGGGUUCGUUGGCUGGGAAUUUGGUCGGUAUUGAUUCGAUUCGUUACUAUAUUUCUAACUAUAAUGACCCGGCACAUUUUGACUACAUUGCUGCAAAACUUGCUGAAUGUAUUACUGAUGAAAAUGAAAAGCUUUGGCUUCCUCCAAUCAGACAGGAUGAAUGCGAAGCCACCAUUCACACAUUCCAACACAAAGAAACUUCAGGAGAAGUUUGUCAACUAAAAAGUGAAGUUGCUACCGUGGUUAAGUGGUGAAGCUCACUCUUUGCUUAAAGGGUUGUUGCAAAAGGACCCGACGCUAAGGAUUGGAAGCUGGACUCGAGGUUGUCAUGAUAUCAAAAAUCAUAAAUGGGUCAAGGAAAUAACAUGUGAAUCUUAAAGAAAAACUGGUUUCAAGAUGGGUAUAAAUUUCAAAGCGGACUAGACUUUAUCAAUGCCAGAGAUGGACAACGGAUUUCUACUCAGGUUAGAUGGGCUCUCGAGUGGAAACAGGCGCUGACCUAGGAUGAAGUUGAGGAUGAGGUGCAUCUAAUUUUGGGGGUGCUGCAUAUUACGUGUGACAACUCGUAUUUCGAACCUAUCUUUGUGCAACAUUAUGUAAUUACGUGAAUUUUUUUAUUAAUUGAAUGUUAUGAUU